rnacentral:rRNA from 1 species
AACGAACGCUGGCGGCGUGGAUUAGGCAUGCAAGUCGAACGCGAAAGAGGGAGCAAUCCCUCGAGUAGAGUGGCGAACGGGUGAGUAACGCGUGAAGAACCUGCCUUCAACAGGGGGAUAACACUCCCAACGGGGUGCUAAUACCGCAUGAGACCACGGGUCCGCAUAGACCUGAGGUCAAAGGUGGCCUCUGCUGCAAGCUACCGGUUGAAGAUGGCUUCGCGUCCCAUUAGCUAGUUGGCGGUGUAAAAGACCACCAAGGCGACGAUGGGUAGCUGGUCUGAGAGGAUGGUCAGCCACACUGGGACUGAGAUACGGCCCAGACUCCUACGGGAGGCAGCAGUCGAGAGGCUUCGGCAAUGGGGGAAACCCUGACCGAGCGACGCCGCGUGGAGGAUGAAGGCCCCUGGGUUGUAAACUCCUUUUGCUGGGGAAGAAACACGAUCAGGUGAACAAUCUGGUCGCUUGACGGUACCCGGCGAAUAAGCUCCGGCUAACUCCGUGC